rnacentral:rRNA from 1 species
UGGGGAAUAUUGCGCAAUGGGCGGAAGCCUGACGCAGCGACGCCGCGUGAGGGAUGACGGCCUUCGGGUUGUAAACCUCUUUCAGCAGGGACGAAGCGAAAGUGACGGUACCUGCAGAAGAAGCACCGGCCAACUACGUGCCAGCAGCCGCGGUAAUACGUAGGGUGCAAGCGUUGUCCGGAAUCAUUGGGCGUAAAGAGCUCGUAGGCGGUUUGUCGCGUCGGCUGUGAAAGCCCGGAGCUCAACUCCGGGUCUGCAGUCGAUACGGGCAGACUUGAGUGUUGCAGGGGAGACUGGAAUUCCUGGUGUAGCGGUGAAAUGCGCAGAUAUCAGGAGGAACACCGGUGGCGAAGGCGGGUCUCUGGGCAACAACUGACGCUGAGGAGCGAAAGCGUGGGGAGCGAACAGGAUUAGAUACCCUGGUAGUCCACGCCGUAAACGUUGGGCGCUAGGUGUGGGGGCCAUUCCACGGUCUCCGUGCCGCAGCUAACGCAUUAAGCGCCCCGCCUGGGGAGUACGGCCGCAAGGCUA